rnacentral:rRNA from 1 species
GCUGGCGGUGCGCCUUAUGCAUGCAAGUCGAGCGAAGCUUUUCAGUAGUUUACUCCAGAAAAUGACUGAGCGGCGAACGGGUGAGUAACGCGUGAGCAAUCUACCUUAGUUACAGGGAUAGCCCGAGGAAACUCGGAUUAAUACCUGAUAUUCUUUAUUUCUCGCAUGAGAAUAAAAGGAAAGGUCAGCCGAACUAAGAUGAGCUCGCGUUCUAUCAGCUAGUUGGUGAGGUAAAAGCUUACCAAGGCUACGACGGAUAGCUGGUCUGAGAGGACGAUCAGCCACACUGGGACUGAGACACGGCCCAGACUCCUACGGGAGGCUGCAGCAGGGAAUAUUGUGCAAUGAACGAAAGUUUGACACAGCGACACCGCGUGUGGGAUGACGGAUCUAGGUUUGUAAACCACUUUCAGGAGGGAAGAAAAUGACGGUACCUCCACAAGAAGCCCCGGCCAACUACGUGCCAGCAGCCGCGGUAAUACGUAGGGGGCGAGCGUUGUCCGGAUUUAUUGGGCGUAAAGAGCUCGUAGGCGGUUCAACAAGUCGGUCGUGAAAGUUCAGGGCUCAACCCUGAAAUGUCGAUCGAUACUGUUGUGACUAGGAUACGGUAGAGGUGAGUGGAAUUCCGAGUGUAGCGGUGAAAUGCGUAGAUAUUCGGAGGAACACCAAUUGCGAAGGCAGCUCACUGGACCGCUAUCGACGCUGAGGAGCGAAAGCUAGGGGAGCAAACAGGAUUAGAUACCCUGGUAGUCCUAGCUGUAAACGAUGGAUACUAGACGUAGGAACUGGAUUGACGGUUUCUGUGUCGUAGCUAACGCGUUAAGUAUCCCGCCUGGGGAGUACGGUCGCAAGACUAAAACUCAAAGGAAUUGACGGGGCCCCGCACAAGCGGCGGAGCAUGCGGCUUAAUUCGAUGAUACCCGUAGAACCUUACCUGGACUUGACA